GGGAAACAGACACUCAACCUAGGGUUCAGUGGAAAAGUUAAGUGCUCCUUUAUUUCUAGAAAAGGGCAGGGGAAGUGCGAGGGGUGAUAGAAGUGUAGCAGGUGCAGGCAGUGGAGGACCAGAGCCGACUUAGUGCUGGGUUGCCGGCAGGGGCUGACUGCGUCUGUUGUUGCUCUACUGCUGGAAGCGGGAGCGGAGGCAGUUGAGGAUUGAUUUCUCCAUCGUCCUCUUCUUUGUCCUCGGUAUCAGCAAGAUGACCUCUGUAAGGAUAGACGGCACAAAUCAGUAAGCAUGUGCUGCAAAAACCUAACAAACGUGUUUGUGGCGCCAUCUCUUUAUACUCCCCUGGUUGCUCGAGGAGGGUAGAUUGAGGUGCCGCUUAAGCCACUCCAACCAUGCGCAAUCAGCGGGCUCCGCCCUGUGGCCAUGCUGCUUUCAGCAGUCCAAAACAGUGGUGCUGAAAUGUUGCUGUCUUUUCAGCACUCUUGGAGCAGUGGAGUGAGGAGCAACGCGUUGCUUUGGCGGCGGUUUCCUUAGGGCGCUGUCACAAUACACAUUAUUGUCAAUGACUAGUUCUUGAGAAGCUCUACACCCCAAACAUCAGGGUUGUGUCCCACAUACUAGUGUUUACUCUUACAAUAUUCACUAUAUAGUCCAUCGGAGGAGACACGUUUUAAUCAAAGAGCUCCUUUAUCUUGAGGACUGAAUUUUUUUAUGGAUAAAAUUAUGAAUGAACGUAAAGUCACCUGUUUGUGUUUAAAGACAGUGGUCUAGACACUACUGAAAAACCCUGUGUUGGACUCUUCUACUCAAGAAAAAUCUCAGAGGCAUCAACUAUAUGCAGGCGAUUGGGACGCAGCCUGCAGCAACCGCCUCUGCCUCUUCAUGUGGUUUAUUCACAUUCCAUCAGCGUGAAUAUUCAUGUGACCAAAAUUGGAAAAAGUCACCACUGGACAGAUUUAAGUCGCACUUGGAAGACACUUUGGACACUUACAGUAAUGCAUUUAUGGCUGAGGACUACAGUUGAUGUGAUAACUUUAGGACUGCAGUUGUCAUGAACAGUUUUACACUCAAGUCUCCAUCAAUGAACAGUUGAUAACUUCAACAAAACAGACUUCCUGUUAAACUAUAAUGAAUUUCCUGGUUACACAGUUGUACUUUGUGACUCUAUAGGACACAGUUAUAGAAGUGAGUUAUUUAUAAUCACGCUAUCUGUUAUCACCCAGAUGAGGGUGGGUUCCCUUUAGAGUCUGGGUCCUCUCGAGGUUUCUUCCUCGUGUCGUCUGAGGGAGUUUUUUCUUGCCACUGUUGCCUCAGGUUUCAUCAUUGGGGAUAAAUUAGGGAUAAAAUUAGCUCAUGUUUAAAGUCUUUAAAUUUCUGUAAAGCUGCU